rnacentral:rRNA from 1 species
GACGAACGCUGGCGGCGUGCUUAACACAUGCAAGUCGAACGGAAAGGCCCUGCUUUUGUGGGGUGCUCGAGUGGCGAACGGGUGAGUAACACGUGAGUAACCUGCCCUUGACUUUGGGAUAACUUCAGGAAACUGGGGCUAAUACCGGAUAGGAGCUCCUGCUGCAUGGUGGGGGUUGGAAAGUUUCGGCGGUUGGGGAUGGACUCGCGGCUUAUCAGCUUGUUGGUGGGGUAGUGGCUUACCAAGGCUUUGACGGGUAGCCGGCCUGAGAGGGUGACCGGCCACAUUGGGACUGAGAUACGGCCCAGACUCCUACGGGAGGCAGCAGUGGGGAAUAUUGCACAAUGGGCGGAGGCCUGAUGCAGCAACGCCGCGUGCGGGAUGACGGCCUUCGGGUUGUAAACCGCUUUCGCCUGUGACGAAGCGUGAGUGACGGUAAUGGGUAAAGAAGCACCGGCUAACUACGUGCCAGCAGCCGCGGUGAUACGUAGGGUGCGAGCGUUGUCCGGAUUUAUUGGGCGUAAAGGGCUCGUAGGUGGUUGAUCGCGUCGGAAGUGUAAUCUUGGGGCUUAACCCUGAGCGUGCUUUCGAUACGGGUUGACUUGAGGAAGGUAGGGGAGAAUGGAAUUCCUGGUGGAGCGGUGGAAUGCGCAGAUAUCAGGAGGAACACCAGUGGCGAAGGCGGUUCUCUGGGCCUUUCCUGACGCUGAGGAGCGAAAGCGUGGGGAGCGAACAGGCUUAGAUACCCUGGUAGUCCACGCUGUAAACGGUGGGUACUAGGUGUGGGGUCCAUUCCACGGGUUCCGUGCCGUAGCUAACGCUUUAAGUACCCCGCCUGGGGAGUACGGCCGCAAGGCUAAAACUCAAAGGAAUUGACGGGGCCCCGCACAAGCGGCGGAGCAUGCGGAUUAAUUCGAUGCAACGCGUAGAACCUUACCUGGGUUUGACAUGGAUCGGGAGUGCUCAGAGAUGGGUGUGCCUCUUUGGGGUCGGUUCACAGGUGGUGCAUGGCUGUCGUCAGCUCGUGUCGUGAGAUGUUGGGUUAAGUCCCGCAACGAGCGCAACCCUUGUUCACUGUUGCCAGCACGUUAUGGUGGGGACUCAGUGGAGACCGCCGGGGUCAACUCGGAGGAAGGUGGGGAUGACGUCAAGUCAUCAUGCCCCUUAUGUCCAGGGCUUCACGCAUGCUACAAUGGCUGGUACAGAGAGUGGCGAGCCUGUGAGGGUGAGCGAAUCUCGGAAAGCCGGUCUCAGUUCGGAUUGGGGUCUGCAACUCGACCUCAUGAAGUCGGAGUCGCUAGUAAUCGCAGAUCAGCAACGCUGCGGUGAAUACGUUCCCGGG